rnacentral:lncRNA from 1 species
GUACAUAGUAAACACAAUUUCGAAUAUUUAUCACAUAUUCUAAAUAUCACCAAUUGAAUCUGUAAUACCCAAAUUUGCUCCGGGCCCGUUAAAAUAAUAAAAACCAAAAAAUAAUAAAAGUUCAAUGUUAGAUAGUCCAUUUACAUAGUCCAAUAUAAAUUUUAAUUACAAACCCAAAAUAUCAGGCCCAACUAAAUUUAACCUAACCCAAAUGCCUAAACCCUAGCCCACUAGCCUGAAACAAAUCAGCAGCAACAACUCCCAGCGCCGCAAGCAGCCAAGCCUUCCCUUCGCGCGUGCGCUACCUCCAAGCCUGUACUUGCACAGCAAAGAUGGCAACAAACAAUAUAGGCAGAAUAGCAAGAAAAUCAGAAAAAUCAGCGAGCAAAUAAGGCAUUUUAAAUUAGAAUAUUCUUACCUUUUUCUUUUUUUCAUAGUCUGCUAUAAAGAGCAGACUCAAAUCUGUAAAAAGGGAGGGGGCAAAAUAUUGUAUUGAAAAAUUAAAAAGAAAAUACAAGAGAGAAAAACAUUUCUGAAGGUGACGGAUUUUGUUUUUUUUUUCCUAUGUUCUUUUUACUGUUUUUAUUUUAUUUUUGUUUUUCUUUUGUUUCUUAAAACAAAACAAAAAAAAAAACAAAAUAACAAAAGAGAAGAGAAGGAGAUACUUACCUGUGUGGAGGAAGACUGAGCUCUAUUUGCUCUGCCCGAAUCGGGGCCGGAGGGAGACUUCGGGCCUGCUAAAAUGGCGGCGGCAGUGACUGAGUUGAAGCCCUAGCAGAGGCUAGGGUUUAUAAUUUUUUUUUGUUGUAAAUAUGGCAGGAAAUGUUUUUUUUUUAAAGAAAAUGUUAGUUUUAUAAUUGAUUUGAAAUGGCGCCGUUUGAUGGGGGAGGAUCCGCACGUUGACCCGAUCUGACCCGCGGGAUCCGCGCAUUUCUUUAAAUUGGGUCAUUUGCGCAAUUGGUCCUCUUGUUUUACAAUGUUCUUAAAUGACUUUUUUUA